CAGUCCAGGGUGAGGAGCAGAACCAGAGCGAUCCAGAUCAGCCACACUGAAACCUUCGCCCCUUCCCUCAUCAUAUGGGUGUGACUGGGAGCUUUUCUGGUAAUGCCCUGUCUCAGAGAAAAAAAGGAGUGUGCGUUCUCACACUACAGAAUGAAUUCUUCCAGAGAUAUCAACUGAGUAAUGAGUAAAAAAAUGUGUGUCAAAAAAACAGUAGAAACAUGUAAGAAUGCAGCUCCAAUCUAACCCUAACCCUGCAGUGGACUCCCUGGAGUUUGGAGAACUGAAUCAUAAGCAGAGCAUAAUCACAUUAGCAAAGCUCUUCAUCCUCUGUGGCUGUGAGUGUGCUGCUCGGCUCCUUUCAUGGGAAUCUGUCACCGUGGAGAUAUGAAGGUGCUCCCUCUCUGCCAAAGCCAGGAGAGACAGCAGCACAUCCCACUGGACCAAAUCUAUCCUCAGAAUUACACCAGUAGCCUCUUCAUGAUGAGAUAAUCAGAGACAUAGAGCUUGAUGUGACACUGUUACAUGUCAAAUGUUUUGUACCUGAAAUAAAAUAAAAACUGAAAUAUUUUGAACUGAAAUAAAAACAGUAAAACA